ensembl:snRNA U6 U6 spliceosomal RNA
GUGCUCGCUUCAGCAGCACAUAAUACUAAAAUUGGAGCGAUGAAGAGAUUAGCAUGGCCCCUGCACAAGGAUGACAAGCAAAUUUGUGAAUCAUUGCAUAUUUAA